GCUUAUGGCCAUACUACUGUGAACAUGCCUGAUCUCGUCUGAUCUCAGAAGUUUAAGCAGAGUCAGGCUUGGUUAGUAUUUGGAUGGGAGACCGCCUGGGAAUUCUAGGUGCUGUAGGCA
rnacentral:rRNA from 1 species